rnacentral:tRNA from 2 species
GGUCUGGUAGUUCAGUUGGUUAGAAUGCCUGCCUGUCACGCAGGAGGUCGCGGGUUCGAGUCCCGUCCAGACCGUCA